UGCCAUCUAGCUACAUAGUAAGAGUAUAGAGAUUCACAUUUUCUUUUCCUUUCUGUGUACACAACUUUGUACAUAGGUUUGAGUCCUGAAGUUAAGUACCCUGUCUCCAAAAUGCAGGGGAAGGCUUCGUUACAAGUCCUCUUUAACUCCUAGUAGAUAACUAGAUAUGUGAUUUGCUAUUCAUCACAUGUAUGAUAGACGAUCCUCCUCUUAUCAUCCGUCGCUAAGCAAAAUAGGAAUUUUGGGAUAUGAUUUUUUAUUCUUCGCAAAAAAAAA
rnacentral:misc_RNA from 1 species